GCCUGGGUGGCUCAGUCGGUUGAGUGUCUGACUUCAGCUCAGGUCAUGAUCUCCCAGUUCGUGAGUUCGAUCCCCGCAUCAGGCU
rnacentral:tRNA from 1 species